CUUGGUCAUUUAGAGGAAGUAAAAGUCGUAACAAGGUUUCCGUAGGUGAACCUGCGGAAGGAUCAUUACCGAGUUCAUGCCCUCACGGGUAGAUCUCCCACCCUUUGUAUACCAUACCUUUGUUGCUUUGGCGGGCCGCCUAGCUACUGGCUUCGGCUGGUAAGUGCCCGCCAGAGGACCCAAAACCCUGAAUAUUAGUGUCGUCUGAGUAAAAUUUUAAUAUUUAAAACUUUCAACAACGGAUCUCUUGGCUCUGGCAUCGAUGAAGAACGCAGCGAAAUGCGAUAAGUAAUGUGAAUUGCAGAAUUCAGUGAAUCAUCGAAUCUUUGAACGCACAUUGCGCCCCUUGGUAUUCCGGGGGGCAUGCCUGUUCGAGCGUCAUUAUAACCCUCAAGCCUAGCUUGGUGUUGGAGCCUGUCUCUGGACAGCUCCUAAAAUCAGUGGCGGUGCCUUCUGGUUCUAAGCGUAGUAACUUUUCUCGCUAUGGAGUCCGGAGGUGUCCUGCCAGAACCCCUAAUUUUCUAUGGUUGACCUCGGAUCAGGUAGGGAUACCCGCUGAACUUAAGCAUAUCAAUAAGCGGAGGAAAAGAAACCAACAGGGAUUGCCUCAGUAACGGCGAGUGAAGCGGCAACAGCUCAAAUUUGAAAUCUGGCUCUUUCAGGGUCCGAGUUGUAAUUUGUAGAAGAUGCUUUGGGUGUGGCUCUGGUCUAAGUUCCUUGGAACAGGACGUCAUAGAGGGUGAGAAUCCCGUAUGUGACUAGUUGCCUUCGCCCGUGUAAAGCUCUUUCGACGAGUCGAGUUGUUUGGGAAU
rnacentral:sRNA from 1 species